GACGAACGCUGGCGGCGUGCUUAACACAUGCAAGUCGAACGGUAAGGCCCUUCGGGGUACACGAGUGGCGAACGGGUGAGUAACACGUGGGUGAUCUGCCCUGCACUUUGGGAUAAGCCU
rnacentral:rRNA from 1 species